rnacentral:misc_RNA from 1 species
CCGAGUUUACAACUCCCAAACCCAAUGUGAACGCUACCGGACGUUGCUUCGGCGGUACCGCCCCGGCGCCCUCGCGGCCCGGACCCAGGCGCCCGCCGGAGGCCCGCAAACCCUGACAGUAUACCGCUCCGCGGUGGUCCCGUCUGAGUGAUACAAAAAAACGCAUCA